AUCUAUAGUCAUACUACCCUGAACAUACCUAAUCUCAUCUGAUCUCAGAAACUAAGCAGGAAUGAGUCUGGUUUUCUUUGGAUAGGAGACCAGAGCCCUAAGUC
rnacentral:rRNA from 1 species